UAUCAUUACUUAAGAUGUUCUUUCAAAAG
rnacentral:piRNA from 1 species